rnacentral:pre_miRNA from 1 species
AGUGAGAUAGCUGGGUAAAAUGGUGGUUGAUUCCCAGUUUUCUGAGGAAUCUCCAUACUGCUUUCUAUAGUGGUUGCACCAAUUUUCAAUCCCACCAGCAAU